rnacentral:rRNA from 1 species
AGAGUUUGAUCCUGGCUCAGGACGAACGCUGGCGGUGUGCUUCACACAUGCAAGUCGAACGAGGUAGCAAUACCUAGUGGCGGACGGGUGAGUGACGCGUGGGAAUCUGCCUUUAGAUGGGGGAUAACGAGCCGAAAGGUUCGCUAAUACCGCAUAUGCCGCAAGGUGAAAGGAGUAAUCCGUCUAAAGAUGAGCCCGCGUCCGAUUAGCUAGUUGGUGGGGUAAAGGCCUACCAAGGCGACGAUCGGUAGCUGGUCUGAGAGGAUGAUCAGCCACAAUGGGACUGAGACACGGCCCAUACUCCUACGGGAGGCAGCAGUGGGGAAUUUUACGCAAUGGGGGAAACCCUGACGUAGCGACACCGCGUGAGCGAAGAAGCCCCUUGGGGUGUAAAGCUCUGUCAGCUGGAACGAAACAAAUGACGGUACCAGCAGUGGAAGCAUCGGCUAACUACGUGCCAGCAGCCGCGGUAAGACGUAGGAUGCGAGCGUUGUCCGGAUUUAUUGGGCGUAAAGAGUUCGUAGGUGGUUUGUUAAGUUUGAUGUUAAAGAUCGGGGCUCAACCUCGGGACAGCAUUGAAUACUGGCAGACUUGAGUAUGGUAGAGGCUAGUGGAAUUCCCAGUGUAGCGGUGAAAUGCGUAGA